rnacentral:rRNA from 1 species
GACAGAGGUGCCGAGCGUUAGGCGGAAUCACUGGGCUUAAAGCGUGUGUAGGCGGACCGUUAAGUGUCUUGUGAAAUCCCACGGCUCAACCGUGGAACUGCCUUAGAUACUGACGGCCUCGAGGGAGAUAGGGGCGAGCGGAACUGUGAGUGGAGCGGUGAAAUGCGUUGAUAUUCACAGGAACUCCGGUGGCGAAGGCGGCUCGCUGGAUCUUUUCUGACGCUGAGGCGCGAAAGCUAGGGGAGCAAACGGG